AUUGAACGCUGGCGGCAUGCCUUACACAUGCAAGUCGAACGGCAGCACGGGAGCAAUCCUGGUGGCGAGUGGCGAACGGGUGAGUAAUACAUCGGAACGUGCCCAGUAGUGGGGGAUAGCCCGGCGAAAGCCGGAUUAAUACCGCAUACGACCUGAGGGGGAAAGCGGGGGAUCGCAAGACCUCGCGCUAUUGGAGCGGCCGAUGUCAGAUUAGCUAGUUGGUGGGGUAAAGGCCUACCAAGGCAACGAUCUGUAGUUGGUCUGAGAGGACGACCAGCCACACUGGGACUGAGACACGGCCCAGACUCCUACGGGAGGCAGCAGUGGGGAAUUUUGGACAAUGGGGGCAACCCUGAUCCAGCAAUGCCGCGUGCAGGAAGAAGGCCUUCGGGUUGUAAACUGCUUUUGUCAGGGAAGAAAUCCUCUGGGUUAAUACCUCGGGGGGAUGACGGUACCUGAAGAAUAAGCACCGGCUAACUACGUGCCAGCCGCCGCGGUAA
rnacentral:rRNA from 1 species